rnacentral:rRNA from 1 species
AUUGAACGCUGGCGGCAGGCCUAACACAUGCAAGUCGAGCGGUUGAAGGGAGCUUGCUCCUGGAUUCAGCGGCGGACGGGUGAGUAAUGCCUAGGAAUCUGCCUGGUAGUGGGGGAUAACGUCCGGAAACGGGCGCUAAUACCGCAUACGUCCUGAGGGAGAAAGUGGGGGAUCUUCGGACCUCACGCUAUCAGAUGAGCCUAGGUCGGAUUAGCUAGUUGGUGGGGUAAAGGCCUACCAAGGCGACGAUCCGUAACUGGUCUGAGAGGAUGAUCAGUCACACUGGAACUGGGACACGGUCCAGACUCCUACGGGAGGCAGCAGUGGGGAAUAUUGGACAAUGGGCGAAAGCCUGAUCCAGCCAUGCCGCGUGUGUGAAGAAGGUCUUCGGAUUGUAAAGCACUUUAAGUUGGGAGGAAGGGCAGUAAGUUAAUACCUUGCUGUUUUGACGUUACCAACAGAAUAAGCACCGGCUAACUUCGUG